rnacentral:rRNA from 1 species
AGGGUUCGAUUCUGGCUCAGGAUGAACGCUAGCUACAGGCUUAACACAUGCAAGUCGAGGGGCAGCAUUAGAUUAGCUUGCUAAUUAGAUGGCGACCGGCGCACGGGUGAGUAACGCGUAUCCAACUUCCCCCUGCUCAGGGAUAGCCCGGUGAAAACCGGAUUAAGACCUGAUAGUUUCACUAGAUGGCAUCUGACGGUGAAUAAAGGUUUCGGCAAGGGAUGGGGAUGCGUCUGAUUAGCUUGUUGGCGGGGUAACGGCCCACCAAGGCGACGAUCAGUAGGGGUUCUGAGAGGAAGGUCCCCCACAUUGGAACUGAGACACGGUCCAAACUCCUACGGGAGGCAGCAGUGAGGAAUAUUGGUCAAUGGGCGGAAGCCUGAACCAGCCAAGUAGCGUGCCAGGAAGACGGCCCUAUGGGUUGUAAACUGCUUUUGUGCGGGAAUAAAGUCAGGGACGCGUCCCUGUUUGCAUGUACCGCAAGAAUAAGGACCGGCUAAUUCCGUGCCAGCCGCAGC